GACACGGGAGCCGGGGGCGGAACGUAUAUCCAGGCUGUAAUAUCGAAUGAAUGUAUGUGGUGUAGACCACCUGCAGCAGCACACACAUCAUGUAAGGGUACCCCUUUGGACAAAGCCUUUGCGGAGGCGACCCCCCCUAGUGGAAUGAGCCCUUAUGACCAGAGGCGUAGUGAGAUCGCGCGCCUCAUAAGCGAUAGAGAUUGUUUCCAUUAUCCGAUUAGAGAUGUGCUGCUUUGACACAGUAUCACCUGUACUGUCGCCGCCAAAGCAGACCAGCAGCUGCUCCGACAUAUGCCACUGGCCGGGGCGGUGGACGUAAGUACAGAGAGCCCUUACUGGACACAGUAAUUUGUAAUUCUCUUGUUCCGGUGUGAGGAACUGAGGAGAGCAGAAAGCUUGCAACACCACAGGCUGGGCAGCAGAUGUAGGAACUUUAUGAAUACAAUCCGGCCUAGGAUGUAGGGAGGUCUUGGCUAAUCCAGGGGCUAAGUCAAGGCAGGAAGGGGCAACAGAGAGAACUUGUAGAUCUCCUACUCGCUUGAGAGAUGUCAGGGCCAGCAGAAGAGCUACCUUUUUAGUCAGGAGCUUCUUGGAGACUGACUCUAAGGGCUCAAAUGGGGCAGCUGAUAGACGUUCCAGGACCACAGAAAGGUCCCAGGAAGGUAUGCAUGGUCUGCAGAUGGGCCUCAGCCUCCUGACGCCAUGCAUAAACCCCGAUGUUAGAGGAUGUUAGAGGAAUCCUUUCUGAUAUAGGAAAACACUUUGAUGUUGGGUUUCAGGUAAGGAUACAUCUCUUAAAAACCUUGAACCUAGAACACUUACAGGCUUUUCUGAUUGAACUUCAAAAGUUCUUAAAUGUUAUGUGUAAAACUGGGUGAUUCCCUAUCAGAAAGGGUUCCAAGUCAAACCCCAUUCUGGAAGCUAAGAACCUUUAAAGAAAAAAAAUGUCCUACUUCUUACUUGUGUUUUUUUCUUCUUUUCAUUUUUAUUUUUGUUUUUACUAGAAACAGAAUAAAGGGAUUCUUUAAGGGUUCUUCACUUUCCAAAAUGGGCUUGAACUGUUUCCGAUAGAGAACCACUUUGCUGAAAGGUUCUACACAGAACACUUAAGGGUUCUUAAGUUGUACCGAAUGCAUUUCAGGUAGCGCACCCUGCUGUAGAGUGUAAUUUCAUCUCCUGGUUGUUGUUUUUUUUUUUUUUUUUUAGACUUUUUUAGACAAAAUUGACAGAUAUUUUCCAGAUUUAUUUGAUGAGGGGGAAAAAAAAAAACUAAUAAGGAAAGAAAAAUGGAAUAAAUUCAGUGUGAAAGUGCCGGAGCGGGCGAGGUACGCGAACCGAUUCCUCAAAGGGGCGCUAAACGAGAGUCCGAGCCAGGUUUUAAUUAUCUCGGAAAUUGUCAAGAAGUCCCUUUGCUCAGCUUUUGGCUGCUUUCACCGAAGCGAACUCUCCUGCUGCAGCGGCACUCGCUGGUACACGCCGCUUCAAUCAGGCGUUUACAUGCAGUUGCCAUAACAACAAUAAAACAUCACACCAAGGUCAAUGUUUGUCGGAAACCAGAAUGGAACAUUUAAUCACAUUUAAAAGGUGUUAUUGUUAAUAUUGAGGCAAUUAAGACGCCCUGAAGCUAUAAAGAAGUGAUAUGUGACCUGUUCUGUCGAGCUAAAAGGCAUCCAUCAACGUAGUGAUGACCGUCACUCCGCGUCGUUUCCAACAACGUGAUUAGCACGAGGACUUGCACAAUCAAGGACGGAAAUAAACUCCUGUGCUGUCUUUUUUUAACGCAAAAUAUCAACAGAAAGGAUCAACCUGCCAUAGAAUCUCACGUUCCUACAUCUAUAACGCUUCAUAUUUUAUUUUGUUUUUGACAAGCGAUCCAAUGAAGCAGGGGGGUUUUGCAAGAGGAGGCUGCCAAGUUUUCUUCUACAUCAAAGCCUGAGUCAUCACAGGGAACGUGAGAUCCCACGGGAUUCGCUGCGGGCGUGCGAGCGAGUGGAAGUCAAAAAGGACUGACAGGUGAGCCGCUGAACUGAAGGAAAGGUCAAACAAUGCGGAUGAUAAGCCUGAGAUAUUUGAAUAAUAAUAAAAAAAAAAAGGUUCCUGACCUUGUUGGAGGUGUAAUUCGCUUUCAUGAAGGUCACGAAUCAUCACCGCGGGACAGGGGUUACGCAGGGGUAUUGUCCGACACGAUUAUCGAAUUCUAGAUUCUGAUUGGUCCGAGUGUUUUCUAUAACAGCAGCUCUGACCCUAGUGCCGGUUUACAUUAAUGCGCUCGUUCUAUUGCGUUACCGUUUCUAUAGUAACAGCGCGUCCACGGGGACGCGUACCGUGUACAGACGCUCUGAUGAUAAACAGAUUAAAACACUGUCGAUAUGGUGGGGUUUUCUGUGAGGAGAAAUGUGUUUAUUUAACAUUUAUGGAAGGCGUGUCCAGUGUCAGAGGUAACGCUGUAACUUUAAGUUUUCCCACAUCUUCCCACAGGACAGACGAGUUGACACUGCUUUGUGGUUUCUCUUUCAAGAGAACUUCAAGAGAGAGAGAAUAAAGAGAGGACUGUUGAGAGAGCGACUGAUUAACGCUGCUGUAACAAAACUUCACCACAUCAACGAUCUGUUGUGUGCGUAGUGCUCGCUGUACAAGUCCCUGAGUAUAACGUGCCACAGCUUCAUUUCUCCAUCCCAUCCAGCACUGAAGUACCGUUAGGCUUCUGCCCUCUUUAAAGCCGUAAGAUUCUCGCCGGUGUAAGACGACAGAUUGUGGAUCAAAUACACGAUAAUGUCUGUGAAUGUUCGAGAGUCGAGUCAAAACCAUCGAUCACCAGUUUCCUAGGUAUCGUGCAUCUGAUGUUUCUUUGGAUUUUUCCGCCGUUGCUUUCCUGCUGACGAUCAUAAAUGAUCAUAAAUAGUAUUGCGGCUACAAGAAAAAGACCACGAGACUGAAACGGGUCGAUAUUGCGAGUUGGAGAAACUUGAAAACAGCAGUUAAGAUUUAACAGUGUAAUUACACAACUGAGGAAAUCAUCAGGACAACAAGAUCUAAC